rnacentral:lncRNA from 1 species
GCGCGCAAAAUUCCCUAAUUCUAAAGUGAAAGUAUGCUCGGCUAUGCAGGCGCACUUGUGGAUGAUCUCAUAGGUGGCCUGGUGUCAGACUCGGUGGGCCGCCAAUACAGCGGGCGCUUGGGCAGAAACAACAAAGGAGCACAGAAGACCGCGAAUGGCAAUCUGAUGGAUGUCUGAUGUCCAAGAAAGUGCCCAUGAGGCAUCUACAUGGCAACAUUGUUGGAGAGUAUGUUGUCAUUUAUUGUGCUAUUCAAGGUCUGGACUGAGCACUUGAAUAUUCAUAAGUAGGUCAAGACAAUCUUUUGGAUAGUAGCCGCAAACCUCUUCUAUGGCGGAACUUUGGAAUUGAUCUUUGCAGAUUAUGUGGGAAUAUUGUAUAGGUUUCUGCUGCCUUUCAACUAUGGGCCUCAUGCACAAGUCUGGCAGACUGGAACAGCCUCUUAGGGUAUGCUAUGUUCCAAGUUUAUGCUUUACAGGUCUUUCCCAUGUGCACAUUGUCCUAAAAGAGUGGGAGUCUACUUGUAUUCAUGCAGUGUCCAAUUUGCGGGCUUGCCUUUUGGUAGGAUAUAAUUAGUGCCUUUGCUGAGACUGCCGAACAAACUUAGCUAGGACCAAGCUCUAAAUCAGUAUCUGCAAGAAGAUUUACGCCCACUGAUAAUAAAUUGUAAGUGUUUGCAGAUCAGGUAACCUUACAGAUGCUGCAGUCUAUACAGAGCACGACCCUGCACAGGCCUACAUGCCAUGCAAUCACUGGUUCACUUGCACAUUCUCCUUAUGCCUGUGCAGCAUCGAUCCCAUGUCCCUGACUGGUGCUGCUUGCGCCUUGGCCCUGACUCUGUCCAACAGAGUUCCUGCCGCUGGGGUGGGCUGUCUCCUCGGCACAGACGCUGCUCGAGGCCCCUGCCUGCUGUUGCUCUCCAGCAUGUCGCAGCGUGCACGUUGCAGCUGCGCAAGAUAAUCCUCAUAUGUGCCUCGCAAGUGCUCAUGUAGAGACGCCUGCAAUAUCAGGAUUGUGUCAUUGGAUCAGGACGUUGGCUCUUUGCGCAAGAAGACCUGUUGGCCUGCAUUUGAUGUUCCAAUCUGCCUGCCAUACUUGCAAUGCUGCUCAUCUCGCUGUCACAAGCUUGCUGCGAAUGAGAUGAGAUGCCAAUGAGUACAUCUGCUUAGUUAAGGCUACAGUACUAUUAGGUCCGGACAGCCACCAACCUUGAAGGCUUUGGUGC